rnacentral:rRNA from 1 species
UACGGGGGGUGCGAGCGUUGUCCGGAAUCACUGGGCGUAAAGGGCGCGUAGGUGGCUUUGUAAGUUUGCGGUGAAAGCCCGGGGCUCAACCCCGGGUCUGCCGUGGAUACUGCAAGGCUUGAGUACUGUAGAGGCAGGUAGAAUAUCGGGUGUAGCGGUGGAAUGCGUAGAGAUCCGAUAGAAGACCGGUGGCGAAGGCGGCCUGCUGGGCAGUAACUGACACUGAGGCGCGACAGCGUGGGGGAGCAAACAGG